rnacentral:rRNA from 1 species
AUGGUAAGGAGGAGACAAAUCAAGAUGGUGAGGUCCGCCUUCCAGACGAGAUAUGUGUGUCGUCAACUGGGAAGGACACUGACCUUGAUACACUGA